rnacentral:rRNA from 1 species
GAUGAACGCUGGCGGCGUGCCUAAUACAUGCAAGUCGAGCGGACGGACGAGAAGCUUGCUUCUCUGAUGUUAGCGGAGGACGGGUGUGUAACACGUGGAUACCCUACCUAUAAGACUGGGAUAACUACGGGAAACCGGCGCUAAUACCGGAUAAUAUUUUGAACCGCAUGGGUGGAAAGUGAAAGACGGUCUUGCUGUCACUUAUAGAUGGAUCCGCGCUGCAUUAGAUAGUUGGUAAGGUCACGGCUUACCAAGGCAACGAUGCAUAAGCGACCGGAUAGAGUGAUAGGCCACACUGGAAGGGAGACACGGUCCAGACUCCUACGGGAGGCAGCAGUAGGGAAUCUGCCGCAAUGGGCGAAAGUCUGACGGAGCAACGCCGCGUGAGUGAUGAAGGUGUUCGGAGCGUAAAACCCUGUUAUUAGUGAAGAACAUAUGUGUAAGUAACUGUGGACAGCGUGACGGUACCGAAUCAGAAAGCCACGGCUAACUACGUG